rnacentral:rRNA from 1 species
AUUGAACGCUGGCGGCAGGCCUAACACAUGCAAGUCGAGCGGAUGAAGGGAGCUUGCUCCUGGAUUCAGCGGCGGACGGGUGAGUAAUGCCUAGGAAUCUGCCUGGUAGUGGGGGAUAAUGUCCGGAAAAGGGCGCUAAUACCGCAUACGUCCUGAGGGAGAAAGUGGGGGAUGUUCGGACCUCACGCUAUCAGAUGAGUCUAGGUCGGAUUAGCUAGUUGGUGGGGUAAAGGCCUACCAAGGCGACGAUCCGUAACUGGUCUGCGAGGAUGAUCAGUCACACUGGAACUGAGACGCGGACCUGGGUCCUACGGGAGGCAGCAGUGGGGAAUGUUGGACAGUAGGCGAAAACCUGAUCCAACCGUGCCGCGUGUGUUAAGAAAGUCUUCGGAGUGUAAAGCACGUUAAGUUGGGAGGAAGGGCAGUAAGUUAAUACCUUGCUGUUUUGACGUUACCAACAGAAUAAGCACCGGCUAACUUCGUG